rnacentral:rRNA from 1 species
GUCUACAGCCAUACCACCCUGAACGCACCCGAUCUCGUCUGAUCUCGGAAGCUAAGCAGGGUCGGGCCAGGUUAGUACUUGGAUGGGACACAUACUCUCCUGGUGUUGGUUC